UACAGAGGUCCCAAGCGUUGUUCGGAUUCACUGGGCGUAAAGGGUGCGUAGGCGGUCGGGUAAGUCUGUUGUGAAAUCUCACAGCUUAACUGUGAAACUGCAUUGGAUACUAUUCGGCUUGAGAGUUGGAGGGGGGACUGGAAUUCUUGGUGUAGCAGUGAAAUGCGUAGAUAUCAAGAGGAACACCAGUGGCGAAGGCGAGUCCCUGGACAACUUCUGACGCUGAGGCACGAAAGCUAGGGGAGCAAACAGG
rnacentral:rRNA from 1 species